CGCUCUCUCGCCCCAGGUGCCCGCGCUCGUGGGGAGCAGAUGCACCAGAUGGCGUCCGGGGUGGGGUCAAUGAAGCGCAGCCCGAGGAAGAUGUGGCGCCCUGGAGAAAAGAAGGAGCCCCAGGGCGUUGUCUAUGAGGAUGUGCGGGACGACACGGAGGACUGCAAGGAACCGCUUAAGGAGGAUUUUGAAGGAAGUGCAUAUGGAUUACAAAACUUUAAGAAACAAAAGAUAUUAAACAAUUGUGAUGACAUGAACGCCUUCUCUUCACAAUAUGCUGUAGGAAAAGGUCAAUUCGACUAGAUGGAGAUGUUCUCUGAAGAUUUCCUUCCUGGAGUGCUGAAUGCAAUGAUUAUGGAUGAUUAUGGAAUAGCCCUCUGCACUGUGCUGUAGAUGAAAACCAAAUUGAAAGCGUUAAGUUUCUACUCAGCAGAGGAGCAAACCCAAACCUCCAAAACUUCAACAUGAUUGCGCCCCUCCACGUAGCUGUGCUGGGCAUGAACAAUGAGGUGAUGAAGGUCUUGCUUGAGCAUAGAAGUACUGAUGUUAAUUUGGAAGGAGAAAAUGGAAACACAGCUGUGAUGAUCGCAUGCACCAAAAAUAAUAGUGAAGCACUGCAGAUUUUGCUUCACAAAGGAGCUAAGCCAUGCAAAUCAAAUACAUUUGGAUGUUUUCCUAUUCAUCAGGCUGUACUUUCAGGUUCCAAAGAAUGCAUGGAAAUAAUAUUGAAGUUUGGUGAAGAGCACGGGUACAGCAGACAGUGUCACAUCAACUUUGUGGAUAACGGGAAAGCCAGCCCUCUCCAUCUGGCUGUGCAAAAUGGUGACUUGGAAAUGAUGAAAAUGUGCCUGGACAAUGGUGUACAAAUAGACCUAGUGGAGAGCUUCAUUAUUUGAUCACUGUGACCUGGCAGACUGUUUAAUUUCAGUGAUGCAACAGAUCAAAGAGCUGGUAAUGGAUGAAGACAACGAUGGGUGUACUCCUCUACAUUAUGCAUGUAGACAGGGGGGCCCUGGUUCUGUAAAUAACCUACUUGGCUUUAAUGUGUCCAUUCAUUCCAAAAGCAAAGAUAAGAAAUCACCUCUGCAUUUUGCAGCCAGUUAUGGGCGUAUCAAUACCUGUCAGAGGCUCCUACAAGACAUAAGUGAUACGAGGCUUCUGAAUGAAGGGGACCUUCAUGGAAUGACUCCUCUCCAUCUGGCAGCAAAGAAUGGACAUGAUAAAGUAGUUCAGCUUCUUCUGAAAAAAGGUGCAUUGUUUCUCAGUGACCACAAUGGCUAGAUGGUUUUGCAUCAUGCAUCCAUAAGGGUACACUCAGACCAUGAAGGUCAUUCUUGAUAGUAAUUUGAAGUGCACAGAUCACAUAGAUGAAGACGGGAACACUGCACUUCACUUUGCUGCAAGGGAAGGCCAUGCCAAAGCCUUUGCACUUCUGAGCCACAAUGCUGACAUAGUCCUGAACAAGGAGCAGGCAGGCCUCCUUUUUGCACCUUGCACUUCACAAUAAGAAGAAGGAGGUGGUUCUUAUGACCAUCAGGAGCAAAAGAUGGGAUGAAUGUCUUAAGGUUUUUAGUCAUUAUUCUCCAAACAAUAAAUGUCCAAUUUUGGAAAUGAUCGAAUACCUCCCUGAAUGCAUGAAGGGAGAAACCAGGAGUUGAAAGUUUUUUUUUCCCAAUGACACUGUGCUGUGCCAGAGGGAAGAGCUGUGGUUGGCUUACGGAUUUAUAGCCCAUAUGAUAAAUCUAGGAUUUUACUGUCUUGGUCUCAUACCAAUGACCUUUCUUGUUGUCAGAAUAAAACCAGGAAUGGCUUUCAACUCUGCUGGAAUCAUCAAUAAAACUAGUGAUCAUUCAGAAAUACUAGAUAACAUGAAUUCAAGUCUAAUAACAAUUUGUAUGAUUUUAGUUUUUUGCUCAAGUAUAUUAGGGUAUGUCAAAGAAGUGGUUCAAAUUUUCCAACAGAAAAGGAAUUACUUUAUGGAUAUUAGCAGUAGUACUGAAUGGAUUAUCAACACGAUGGGCCCCAUUUUAGUGCUGCCCUUGUUCACUGAAAUAGCAGCCCAUCUGCAGUGGCAAUGUGGAGCAAUCGUGGUUUAUUUUUAUUGGAUUAAUUUCUUAUUGUGUCUUUGAAGAUUUGAGAAUUGUGGAAUUUUCAUUGUUAUAUUGGAGGUAAUUUUUAAAACUUUGUUGAGGUCUGCAGUUGUAUUUUUCUUCCUUCUUUUGGCUUUUGGACUCAGCUUUUACGUCCUCCUGAAUUUACAGGAUGCCUUUAGUUCUCCAUUGCUGUCUAUAAUACAGACCUUCAGCAUGAUACAAGGAAAUAUCAAUUAUUGAGAGUCCUUCCUAGAACCAUUUCUGAAGAAUAAAUUGGCACAUCCAGUUCUGUCCUUUGCACAGCUUAUUUCCUUCACAGUAUUUGCCCCAAUUGUCCUCAUGAAUUUACUUAUUGGUUUGGCAGUUGGUGACAUUGCUGAGGUCCAGAAACAUGCAUCAUUGAAGAGGAUAGCUAUGCAGGUGAAACUCCAUACCAGCUUAGAAUAGAAGCUGCCAUGCUGUUGCAUACGCAAAGUGGAUCGGAAAUCCACCGCCGUAUGUCCCAACAAACCCAGAUGUGAUGGGACAUUAUU